rnacentral:rRNA from 1 species
CUACCUAGUAGUAUGGGAUAGCCACUAGAAAUGGUGGGUAAUACUGUAUAAUCCCUGCGGGGGAAAGAUUUAUCGCUAUUAGAUGAGCCUAUGUUAGAUUAGCUAGUUGGUAGGGUAAAGGCCUACCAAGGCAGUGAUCUAUAGCUGGUCUGAGAGGAUGAUCAGCCACACUGGAACUGAGAUACGGUCCAGACUCCUACGGGAGGCAGCAGUGGGGAAUAUUGGACAAUGGGCGCAAGCCUGAUCCAGCUAUGCCGCGUGAGUGAGGAAGGCCUUAGGGUUGUAAAACUCUUUCAGUGGGGAAGAUAAUGACGGUACCCACAGAAGAAGUCCCGGCAAACUCCGUGCCAGCAGCCGCGGUAAUACGGAGGGGGCAAGCGUUGUUCGGAAUUAUUGGGCGUAAAGGGCAUGUAGGCGGUUCGGUAAGUUAAAGGUGAAAUGCCAGGGCUUAACCCUGGAGCUGCUUUUAA